rfam:Erinaceus europaeus unplaced genomic scaffold scaffold00001, whole genome shotgun sequence
GUGCUUGUUUGGGCAGCACGUUGUCUACUAAAACUGGAAGGAUACAGAGAAGAUCAGCAUGGCCCCUGUCCAAGGCAAAUUCAUGAAGCGUUCCAUAUUUUU